GACGAACGCUGGCGGCGUGCUUAACACAUGCAAGUCGAACGGAAAGGCCCUGCUUUUGUGGGGUGCUCGAGUGGCGAACGGGUGAGUAACACGUGAGUAACCUGCCCUUGACUUUGGGAUAACUUCAGGAAACUGGGGCUAAUACCGGAUAGGAGCUCCUGCUGCAUGGUGGGGGUUGGAAAGUUUCGGCGGUUGGGGAUGGACUCGCGGCUUAUCAGCUUGUUGGUGGGGUAGUGGCUUACCAAGGCUUUGACGGGUAGCCGGCCUGAGAGGGUGACCGGCCACAUGGGGACUGAGAUACGGCCCAGACUCCUACGGGAGGCAGCAGUGGGGAAUAUGGCACAAUGGGCGGAAGCCUGAUGCAGCAACGCCGCGUGCGGGAGGACGGCCUUCGGGUUGUAAACCGCUUUCGCCUGUGACGAAGCGUGGGUGACGGGAAUGGGUAAAGAAGCACCGGCGAACUACGG
rnacentral:rRNA from 1 species